rnacentral:rRNA from 1 species
ACGCACGCUGGCGGCGUGCCUCAUACAUGCAAGUUGAGCGCUGAAGGUUGGUACUUGUACCCACUGGAUGAGCAGCGAACGGGUGAGUAACGCGUGGGGAAUCUGCCUUUGAGCGGGGGACAACAUUUGGAAACGAAUGCUAAUACCGCAUAAAAACUUUAAACACAAGUUUUAAGUUUGAAAGAUGCAAUUGCAUCACUCAAAGAUGAUCCCGCGUUGUAUUAGCUAGUUGGUGAGGUAAAGGCUCACCAAGGCGAUGAUACAUAGCCGACCUGAGAGGGUGAUCGGCCACAUUGGGACUGAGACACGGCCCAAACUCCUACGGGAGGCAGCAGUAGGGAAUCUUCGGCAAUGGACGAAAGUCUGACCGAGCAACGCCGCGUGAGUGAAGAAGGUUUUCGGAUCGUAAAACUCUGUUGGUAGAGAAGAACGUUGGUGAGAGUGGAAAGCUCAUCAAGUGACGGUAACUACCCAGAAAGGGACGGCUAACUACGUG